GCCAGCGGUGAUAGCACAUGAACAGGACACCAGUUCCUAAUGGAUCACUGAAGUUAAGCAACGUUGUGCGUGGUUAAUGUCGGCUAUCGGGAUGGGUGACCAUCUAGGGCCUAGGCAAUCGCGUGCAGCUGGCU
rnacentral:rRNA from 1 species